rnacentral:lncRNA from 1 species
AGCGGAAUUGAACCGAACAAAUAGCCUAUAUAUGCCCUUUGACUUGUUGCUUGUUUAUAUGGCCAGAAUUACCAGCUCGGUCGUGGUGACACGAACGAUAGUGUUAUCUACUGUUCAGCGACUCGGUGGCAAAUAAGGUUUCCAACAUGAUUUUUCUCUCGCCCUGUCCUAUUCUUAAUUCUCUCAUCCAAGCCCAGUUUCAUUUAUUUGCUACGUUUCGAUUCAUCUCCUCUACAGUAUUAGUAAUCAUGACUCUGAGGUGUAGUGAAUUUUCUCUGAAUGAUGGUCGCAGUCAACCGUUCCUGAUACAGGCAGUAGGUCGUGGUCAGACUGCUGCAGAUUUUUAUGCUCAAUACCAAGCUCAUUCAAUUGCCACAACAACAACAACAUUAGCAAUCGCAGCAGCGCUAGAGAUGUUGUGCAUAUGGCAGCCGCCUGUCGACGAGGUCGCUUACUCGUCAGGCAAUCGACAGUCAUUGGCAGCGGAUGCGCGAUAGAGAACCGGUGCUCUCUGUUUUAUAGUCUACUGCCAUGGUUCCCCCCGUCUACUACUCGGCUGUCUGCCAGGAUACUAAUCCAAUAGUUAAUGCAGCAACUAGGCGAACGACGAGUGAUUCAGUAGUCGCCAUCAUCGCCGCCAUUUGCUCACCGCAUAUAAUAAUUUGUUUGUGAUCGUGGGGUUGUUGAUGCUGCCGCCGCCAUCGAUGCCCGUAUUCUGAACAACAGGCGACCGGACGCGUCAUGCGCGACGCGCUGGCGGAGUCGGACGCUAAUAGCACCGUUUUUUUGAUGCUGCUGCUGUCUGCUAGAAAAAACGAAUUUACAUUCGUGGCUGAGAUUCUAAAGAAGGGGUGAUUAAAAGGGUAAAUAAAACUAAAGAAAAUUCGAAUUUCAAAUAUCCAAAAAUAGCGGACGGUGUAACCAUGUUGGCGUGUGUGCGUGAGCGUGUGGGCGCGGACACAGUUCAGCAAAAGCGAAGCACAGAAUUAAUUGGAUUUCCAGAAAAAACGAAGCGGACGGAACUGAUGGAUGAUGAAAGGCAAAUAGAUUAAGGCACGAGCUGAGAUCAGGAGGCACUCUUUGGACAUUUGAGGCUUUCUGCUUACCUACAGAUGGAUGGCUAACAUACGACACCCUAAAGAUUUUUCUUACAAAUGGUUCCUGAGGCGUAGAGGGAUCGGUUUUGAAAGGUCACACCAAAACGCACAGCACUUGGCGAAGCACCACGGAUCAGCACUUUUCUUUGCUACUGCACACGAACCUCACUCACGGCAAUAGCAUAGACAAGCUACUACAUAGGGAAGGGCCGAUCAUUGGGCCGGGAGCGAGUCACAACGGGCGCUCCCCAGGAGCGAACUGCUGUGCGCGGCUCGUCAGCUGGGGAAAGGGUCGCCAAAACUGAGAGAGUACAGCCCACACGAUAUGGAUGACCGCGAUGAUCUUUGCUGAAGAGAACGCUUACAGCUAUCUCUGGUACUAGAACUGAGCAUAAAUAUGAGAUCACAGACAGUUUUCGGCCUGUGUUGUUGAAUAGAGAACCUCCCAGCUCAUGCAACCUAUAAUACAACAACAUAUAUACAUACAACCACAACAACAACAGCGCCAACCACUACAACAAGAAUGACCAGCACGUGUGAAGGAAAAUACUGUUCAGCGAUCUAAGUCAAUUUCGUUAUAUGUAUGACGCAUCAAUGAGAACAGAAGAGAGACUAAACGUUCGAGGCGCUACUGAGGUUCGCGCAAAGCAGCUCUUUCCUCUAGCUGACUGCGAUCGAAGGCGAACAGGCCGAAGCCGAAAAAAAAAGAUUUUACCGAGGUCCUUUCGAUUUUUGGUUGACUGUGUCCAGGCGAUGGCGAGCGGUAUGGCAGCGACUACGUCAGCAGUUUAGUUAGCAGCCAACGGUAGCAAUAACAGUAUGGACUAUCUCAGGAGAUUCACCCUUCACAGAGACACAGACAGGAUGGUCAAGAGCAGUAUAAUCAUAGUAUAAGAGAAGAAUGGUAGUAUUUGUCGACAUCUGUAUUGCUGUUGAUUUUGCCAUUGUUUGUUGAUCAGUGGGCACAUCAUCAGCGUUAUUGUCAUCCUUCUAGUUCAUAGCGGCGGCUACUACGUUACUUGCAACGCUUAACAUGCGCCCAUCAUGGUGUAAUGCGUGGCGGUUCGUUCAGGUCAAAUCUCCUUUGUUGCUGUCCGAAGGAUUUCCCUUCUGUGUGCUGUAACGCUGGUGUAAGCCCAUUCUUUUGGCACUUCUGUUGCUGCAGUGUCUUCUUACCCAAGUGCUUCCCCUCGACUGCUUGCGAUAGCUCCUUCCAAACGAAGUUCAACGGGUCGUUCGUUACCUAAUGCGAAGUCGGCCGAGCGCUUGUUACCAGGGACAGACCGACGGCUUGGCUAGUAAACCGCCCCGUAGCAGCGAAAGCUACAGUCAUAGCCUAGAUUAAACCGCAGAGAGGUGAGUUGGACAAAUAGACGGACCGAGUCCUUCUUCAGUCAUGGCACGAUCAUCGUCGCUGCGACCAUCACCGCAGCUUCAAUAGAAUACGAGCCGGCAGAUAGGCUGUCAAACAGAAGACGAAGGAAAGAAAGCAAUGUAAAUGCAUCACUGCAAGUAUGUGUGUAUGUACUAAAUAGAAUAUCAAGACAAGAAAGCAGCCGUAUGGUACAGUGAUUUUGUGCUAUUUUUUCUGAGAGAUGUUCAUAGAAAAGGAAAUUGUCAUUCAUACAAGACGAUGCUCAUACGAGGUCAAAUAUAGAAACAAAGGUAAAAACGACACAAGCAUACGGGUCAGACAAGAAGCACGGAUAUUGGGGGGGGGCUGUAUAAAAAUUGUCGCUAAUAGAACAGUAAUAGUACCGUGGAAUCAAAGAGUUACGGUGUAGGUAAUAAUAAAGUAUAUUGCUGUGGAGGAUUAAGAGGAUACUUAG